GUCAAUUUUGUUGGUCCUUGAACUAAACCAGGCUUUGAUUUGUAAUGUAAGAAACAAACUAUAAGCAAAAAUUUCAAACUGGCCUUCCUACAGUUAACUAGACCCCCUUGUGGGAAGAUAAAUAAUGUAUAUAAUCCUGAAAAAUUUGGAAAUGUGUGGGAUUUGUCUUAGUCACUUGCUUUACUUGUCUGGUUGUAUUUAUGAAUUUAGCACAUUGUGGGGUUGCUGUCUUCUACAAAUAGGAAAGUGGAAUAGAAAGGGGGAAAACACUGAUAACCAGCAGAAACUCUUGAUUCAGGGUUGCAGAGAGAAAUAGAGACCCUAGGCCAUAGGCCAGCAGACUCUUUAGUGGGAGCAGAUCAAUCAGCACAGUCAGGAGGCUCUAACUAUAUGCUGGGACUAACAGUGGCUGAAGGCCAUGUGCAGAGAGAGGUUUACUGUUGACUCAUGGACAUACUUUGUAAUUCUUGUACUUAGUGACUGGCAAGCACAUCUGUGAAAUGAUCUGUUCCUUUAAAUUCUACAACUUACUGGCUCCCGAAGGCUCAGGGCUCUGAGGCUGCACCUUUGGUUUACUGUAGGAAUAAUAGGGGGACAAGGCAGAUGGGUGGCAUCCCUCUUCACGUGGGGUUUGACAUCCCAGGGUGUACUCUUUAUGCUAAGCUAAUCCUGCCUUACUAACCAAAAUUAACGACCUACUUUUUUUUUUUUUUAAUAUACUUUUAUUGAUUUCAGAGAGAGGAAGGGAGUGGGGGAGAGAGAGAA